CAACGACGAAAAAUAGGAGUGCUAGACGCUACAGGGGCCAAUGCUGUCCGCGAAGCGUGGCGCACUGCUGCUGCAGGCGUUCCACAGGCCUGGCGAGGUGAUCUCGUACAAGGCAGGUGACUAUCACCUCGUGCCCAAGAAGUUCACCGUAGGCAAGCGCAUUGCCGUGCGGUCGUACCUCGACCGCAACCGCACGGAGCUGUCGGACCGCACGUUCAUGCCGCAGAAAAACUGGUUCCGCCCUUACGACUUGCAGGAAGAUCGUUUUGAUCGCGAUCACGAGCGGCUGAGCUACCGUUUUUACAACCUCGAGACGAAGGUGAUUUGGAAAGCCUUCGACACACCCGAGUUGAUUGGCGUGUUGCUGCAUGAUGAGACGGUGAAGGGCAACACCGGCAUGUACGCGCCUGAUAUGCUUGACGCGGCUCUGCACUACACACGCGAGUCCCGCUACUGGCGCUGCAUUGGUAUCACGAAGCCGUUUUAUGACCGUAGCACGCUGCGGGCGCACUGCUGGGAGGACAAUGGGCUACAGGUAGGGACGCUCGUCAUGUCGCAGGCGAUGCGGCACGCACUGAUGGACCUGGAGCGUGCCGUGCGCCGCAAGGAACUGGGCUUGGAGCCGAAUUACCUGUGGGACCGUUGGGGCCCGAUCGGCUUUAUCGACGGUGCCCGCGCCGACUACCUGCCCAGAUUCGAGCACAACCCUUACGUCGACCCCGACGGCGUCGACGUGACGGAGCUCGACGUGUUGCCGUUCAACACGCACGAGCAGAUCAGGGAGCGGUACAGAGACUUCAUCGAGCCUGACACAGCGCCGUUCGAGGAGGUCUUCCGCAGCCCGAGCCACGGGUCCCUCACGACGCUGGCUGACAUCCCAAAAGCAAGUGUGGUGGCUCUGUACAAAGACCUGAAGCUGAAGGCCGGAACGCCGGUCGCCGGCGAUGCCGUGGAGCUGGCCCCCGCCGACGUUCGAACACUCUUCUACCUUAGCGCCAAUCCGGAGUGGAGAGCCAUGGCCGGCGGCAAGGCUUCCUGGGAAGAGGUCGUCGACGCCAUGCAGCCGGUGCAGGCGCAGUUGGAUGAGAAGAUAGAUGCUGCCAGACUACUUCAGAACACGCGCCACAGCGCGGAGCGAGUGCGUGCGUUCUUCGAGGAGAAAUGUGGCUUCCGCGACUUCAUGUACACUCCAGACAAAAUCAUCACGGCGGCAGUGCUGUGCUACUUGACGGAGCUGCGCCGCAUCUGCACCGAAACGGCGUGGGGCACAGACCUGGCCAAGUGCCUGACGGAUGUGGAGCGAGUGCAGGUGAUGGGCCGCGAUGCCUUCAUCGUGUACCGGCACAUUGAGGACGCUAUCCUCGACAAGAAGCGGCGCUUGUGGGCCGGCCGGUUUGCCGGCGAGUCCCAUGAGGAAUCGACGCUGGACUACCUGCUCGAGAACUUUGGCCGCCGUGCGGAUCGCCCGCGAAACGUCGGCACCACCGGCGUAGAGUUCGACCGAGAGCAGGAGCCGAUUGGACGCCAGGUGCAGCGGCGUGUACUGGACUCCGACAAGGCGAACAAGUUGGCCGAGGUUCGCCGCAGUCGGGGCAAGAUGUGGUCGAAGAAGCGCAGCGUGUUCGACGCGCUACAUGAGAAGCAGCUCCAGAACUUCAACUACGGUGUGCACUGAGGCCUUCGCUCGCACACGUUUGCCUUGUGUCUGUGUGUGCGCGUGCAUUUUUGUUGGGGAAAGAUGUCUUGGCGAUUGGUUGGCUCUUUACAUGGCAACAGCGAGACCGUCUCUGGCGUUGCCCCCCCCCCAAGACACAGAGUGAGCAUGGAAAGGAACGAGGGGGACGUGGGACGGUGGCCACCUUGCUACGUGACGUAAGACUAAAGAAUACGAAGGCAACGUUCUGCCGACGCCACGGAGGUCGUCGGUCGCAGACGUGGUGAGUGGGAGGAUGCACACAUCCAUGAAGGGGGGAGGAGGGAACGGGGGCCGUCUGUAAGGGUUUGUCUCGCUCGAAGGGAGAGGCAGCGAGAGCGAGAGACGAUGCCGUUGGCGUGCCCUGUUUCUUCUCCCUCUACCUGUCUGCCCGCACAUGCCUGUUGCUCCCCCUCACACGGGUCGCCAUCCCCUCUUCCUUGCUUUGAUUCAUCUCGUCUUUCCCUCUCGUCCGCCCCUCCGUGACCCCUCUUCCCACUCUGCUGGAUCUCUCGUGCUUGCUCUCUUGAAG
rnacentral:misc_RNA from 1 species